rnacentral:rRNA from 1 species
CCUACGGGUGGCUGCAGUGGGGAAUAUUGCACAAUGGGCGCAAGCCUGAUGCAGCCAUGCCGCGUGUGUGAAGAAGGCCUUCGGGUUGUAAAGCACUUUCAGCGGGGAGGAAGGCGUUAAGGUUAAUAACCUUGUCGAUUGACGUCACCCGCAGAAGAAGCACCGGCUAACUCCGUGCCAGCAGCCGCGGUAAUACGGAGGGUGCAAGCGUUAAUCGGAAUUACUGGGCGUAAAGCGCACGCAGGCGGUCUGUCAAGUCGGAUGUGAAAUCCCCGGGCUCAACCUGGGAACUGCAUUCGAAACUGGCAGGCCAGAGUCUUGUAGAGGGGGGUAGGAUUCCAGGUGUAGCGGUGAAAUGCGUAGAGAUCUGGAGGAAUACCGGUGGCGAAGGCGGCCCCCUGGACAAAGACUGACGCUCAGGUGCGAAAGCGUGGGGAGCAAACAGGAUUAGAUACCCGAGUAGUC